rnacentral:rRNA from 1 species
UGGGGAAUAUUGCACAAUGGGCGCAAGCCUGAUGCAGCCAUGCCGCGUGUGUGAAGAAGGCCUUCGGGUUGUAAAGCACUUUCAGCGGGGAGGAAGGCGAUAAGGUUAAUAACCUUGUCGAUUGACGUUACCCGCAGAAGAAGCACCGGCUAACUCCGUGCCAGCAGCCGCGGUAAUACGGAGGGUGCAAGCGUUAAUCGGAAUUACUGGGCGUAAAGCGCACGCAGGCGGUCUGUCAAGUCGGAUGUGAAAUCCCCGGGCUCAACCUGGGAACUGCACUCGAAACUGGCAGGCUAGAGUCUUGUAGAGGGGGGUAGAAUUCCAGGUGUAGCGGUGAAAUGCGUAGAGAUCUGGAGGAAUACCGGUGGCGAAGGCGGCCCCCUGGACAAAGACUGACGCUCAGGUGCGAAAGCGUGGGGAGCAAACAGG